AGUGAACGCUGGCGGUAGGCCUAACACAUGCAAGUCGAACGGCAGCACAGUAAGAGCUUGCUCUUACGGGUGGCGAGUGGCGGACGGGUGAGGAAUACAUCGGAAUCUACUUUUUCGUGGGGGAUAACGUAGGGAAACUUACGCUAAUACCGCAUACGACCUACGGGUGAAAGCAGGGGAUCUUCGGACCUUGCGCGAUUGAAUGAGCCGAUGUCGGAUUAGCUAGUUGGCGGGGUAAAGGCCCACCAAGGCGACGAUCCGUGGCUGGUCUGAGAGGAUGAUCAGCCACACUGGAACUGAGACACGGUCCAGACUCCUACGGGAGGCAGCAGUGGGGAAUAUUGGACAAUGGGCGCAAGCCUGAUCCAGCCAUACCGCGUGGGUGAAGAAGGCCUUCGGGUUGUAAAGCCCUUUUGUUGGGAAAGAAAAGCAGCAGGUUAAUACCCCGCUGUUCUGACGGUACCCAAGGAAUAAGCACCGGCUAACUUCGUG
rnacentral:rRNA from 1 species